rnacentral:lncRNA from 1 species
GACGACUGGGAGCUUGCUGUCCUUCUCUCUUUUUGCCUUUAUUUUUUAUUUGUUUAUUUUUUUUGGACCUCUACUGAUAAAAAAACAAACUUGUGUUGAAAUAGUGGGAUAUUGUAUUGAUUAUGAGUGAGCUGGGAGAGCAGUAGAUCCUAUUUUAAGAUCUAUUGAUUUUUUUAAUAUUAAAUUUAGUUGGCCACAAAGUGAGGUGAUUUGACUUUAAAACCUCCUAUUGUGCUAUAUAAUAAAGUAUUAUUAAACUGUCUCACUAGUUUAAUAUGCUACCGAUAAUAGGAAGUGCUUCACCUAUGAAAAAGGAAAAAAAUUGCUCAUAUCCUGCAUAUAUACAAUUUUUCUAGCUCUUGCUGUCUCCUAUAUAGAGAUGGUCAAUGGGCCGGGCGGCACGAGGCACGACACAUGCCCGCACAGCACAGCACGACAUGCGCACGUUUCGGUAGGGCACGAGUCACGGCACGCACGUGGGCCAUGCCGGGUCUAAAAUUUUAGGCAUGCGGGCCUUAAAAGCACGGCAUAAAGAUGGGCCAAAGCACGGCACGCGAAAAGGCAUGUAAUAAGCACGCUUCAUUGGUGGGUUAAGCACGCGGCCCGUGGGCCAAAGCAUAUCAAAAUAAAAUU